GGUGUGUUCCGACGUUCAAGGCCGGACGGGUUCACUUGAGAUUCCGGCACAGAAGCAAAUCUGAGGAGCCGUGGGAAUGCCUGAUGGUAAUCCGGCAACUAGACAAGAAUGAGGGGUGUUGCGAUCUUGCCCUCUGGUGUCAGCGGCUGUGCCUCGAGGGGUUGGGAAAAGAAAAUGACUCUGACAUUUCAAAGAAAUGAAAAACUCAGAAAGAAGAUUUGACUUGCUCUCUACCUGCAUCUAAGAAUUUGGACAGAAGACCUGCUUCAGGAAGGCAGGUAUCAUCAAAGGUUCAUCAUGUACUAUUUCGCAACAUUCAAUUGAAUUUUGAGAACCAUGAGGCCUAAUGUGUAGGCAGAGUGAUUUCUUUGGAACGCCUUUCAACUGUUUAUGAAAAAAGAAGAAAAAUGGAGAAAAAUUAACCUGCAAUGAGUAUACCAGAAAAAUUUUGAUUCAACCUACUCGAUAUUAGGAUAAAACUUACUCAGGCUGUUAAACGUCAAGGUAAAGAAAUCUUUCACCAGGCACCUAGAAAGAAGAAACAAAAUACAAAUAAAGAAGAAAGAUCAGAAAAGUCUCAUACUUUCUCUGCAGAAAUACGUUGUGCUUAGAGACAGUGGAACAAUGUCUAAAAGCAAAAGGAAGAGGAGUGUAAUCCAAUAAUUUUAUAGCCAGCUAAGAUGUUUUUCAAGUAUAAAUGGAGAACAGAGACCAGUGAAAACAUAAUAUAACUAAAGAAUUUAUGGCAUAUGAGAUCAACUGGAAUAAAAUAUUCAAGUAUACAAAGCCUUAUAAAUCACCACUGAAAAAAAUCUAUUUCUUUUAAAAGUAAAACUGAACAUCCUUGAAGAACAUAAAAUAUAAACAUGAAUAAUGUAUUAAUAUAUUUUACAAAUGGUGUAAUGUAGGCAGAGGAGUCAUGGAAAUACGUGGCAUGCCAUCGUCUUUCAUUUAUGGAAGGAAGUUAACAUAUUUUUUAAAAAUAAAGACCUGUGGUCAAAGCUAUUGCUUAUAUCUUAUGAGUAAAAUAUUAUCUUAAUUUCCAGUUUUUUUAACAUGCAGCAAC